rnacentral:rRNA from 1 species
AUUGAACGCUGGCGGCAGGCCUAACACAUGCAAGUCGAACGAGUGGCGGACGGGUGAGUAAUGUCUGGGAAACUGCCUGAUGGAGGGGGAUAACUACUGGAAACGGUAGCUAAUACCGCAUACCAUCGGAUGUGCCCAGCUGGGAUUAGCUAGUAGGUGGGGUAAAGGCUCACCUAGGCGACGAUCCCUAGCUGGGUGGAGGUGAUGACCAGCCAAACUGGAACUGGGAAACGGUCCAGACUCCGACGGGAGGCAGCAGUGGGGAAUAUUGAACAAGGGGCCAAAGCCUGAUGCAGCCAUGCCGCGUGUAUGAAGAAGGCCUUCGGGUUGUAAAGUACUUUCAGCGGGGAGGCGUUACCCGCAGAAGAAGCACCGGCUAACUCCGUGCCAGCAGCCGCGGUAAUAC